rnacentral:misc_RNA from 1 species
GAAAAAUAGCAAUUUGCUAUAACGAUAAUAGAUGCACAAAUUAUGUAUCAAAAAUCAUUUUGCAGGCAGCCCGCCACAACAAACCAUUCUGAAAUCACACAAUUUCAGAAACGUCUAACAAGUUCAACCGCCACCAUAAUCUAUUUGCUUCAUGAAACAAAAGUGAAAAUAUAAAACAUAACAGAAACAAUAAAGAAGAAA